AGCGAACGCUGGCGGCAUGCUUAACACAUGCAAGUCGAACGGUCCCUCCGGUUUCUUCGUCGUCGGUGUGGGUAAGUCGUGGGCACGUGCCUUCUGGUCUGGAAUACCCCUCGGUACCUCUGGCUAAUCCCGUAUACGCCCUUCUGGGACAGGGUUUACUGCCUCAAUCUAGGCCUGCGUCUGGUUAGAUUGUUGGUGGGGUAACGGCCUACCACGCCGCCUAUCAGCAGCUGGUCGGAGAGGAUGCUCAGCCACACUGGGACUGAGACACGGCCGAGACUCAUACGGGAGGAAGGAGGGGGGAAUAUUGGACAAUGGGCGCAAGCGUGAUGGAGCCAUGCCGGGUGAGAGAUGAAGGCGUUAGGGAAGUAAAGCUGUUUUAUCCGGGACGAGAAUGACGGUACCGGAGGAAUAAGCCCCGGCUAACUACGUG
rnacentral:rRNA from 1 species